UAUUAAAACAGGCCGAAUCUCCGGAAAUUCCGGAGUACGGGGGACAAAAAUUAAUGGGGUGAAUCCGUAACUUUUUCGGAGGUGCAAAAAAGUACGGUAGGGUGCCCUCAACCCGAACCCGUCAGCUAACCUCGAAGGCCAGAGGAGGGUAAAA
rnacentral:sRNA from 19 species